UAAUGUAUCAGGUACCCUGUUGAGUGCUA
rnacentral:piRNA from 1 species